AGAAUGAACGUUGGCGGCGUGGAUUAGGCAUGCAAGUCGAACGGAUCUGGUAGCAAUAUCAGAUUAGUGGCGUAAGGGUGAGUAAGGCGACGGCAACCAACCCCAAGGUUGGGCAUAGCCGCGGGAAACUGCGGGUAAUUCCCAGCGAUGUUUAGACCGGGCAUCCGGUUUAAACCAAAGUUCUGGCGCCCUGGGACGGGCCGUCGUGGUAUUAGGUAGUUGGCGGGGUAAUGGCCCACCAAGCCUCCGAUGCCUACCGGGCGUGCGAGCGUGGCCCGGCACACUGGGACUGAGACACUGCCCAGACUCCUACGGGAGGCUGCAGUCGAGAAUCUUCGGCAAUGGGCGCAAGCCUGACCGAGCGACGCCGCGUGGAGGAUGAAGGCCUUCGGGUUGUAAACUCCUGUCGAGGGGAGGAAGGGGUAACCUUGACCUAUCCCUGGAGGAAGCACGGGCUAAGUUCGUGCCAGCAGCCGC
rnacentral:rRNA from 1 species